UUCAGCUACUGAGGAGGUCCUGGACCGGAAAGUGCCGGCGGCCCUGGAGUCCGCCUUGCCGUGCGCGCCACGAGGCGGCGCCGGAGAAGGGACCGGGCGGGUCCACGUCACGGGCGUCAGGCGGGACCGGACUCCUCUUGAACGCGAGUCUGCGAAGAGCCUGGCCAGACGGACUGUUAACGGUGAGACGCAGGUGCUCACUGACAGGGCGGAGUGAGCGCCAGGCGGAACGUGAGACCCGCGGUCCUCCUUUGAAAGCCAUGAAAUUAAAAGACGCUUACUCCUUGGAAGGAAAGUUAUGACCAACCUAGACAGCAUAUUAAAAAGCAGAGACAUUACUUUGUCAACAAAGGUCCGUCUAGUCAAGGCUAUCGUUUUUCCAGUGGUCAUGUAUGGAUGUGAGAGUUGGACUAUAGAGAGGGCUGAGCACAGAAGAAUUGAUGCUUUUGAACUGUGGUGUUGGAGAAGACUCUUGAGAGUACCUUGGAUUGCAAGGAGAUCCAACCAGGCCAUCCUAAGGGAAAUCGGUCCUGGGUGUUCACUGGAAGGACUGAUGUUGAAGUUGAAACUCCAGUAUUUUGGCCACCUGAUGCGAAGACCUGACUCAUUUGAAAAGACCCUGAUGUUGGGAAAGAUAGAGGGCAGGAGGAGAAGGGGACAACAGAGGAUGAGAUGUUUGGAUGGCAUCACCGACUCAAUGGACAUGAGUUUGGGUAAACUCUGGGAGUUGCAGGACAGGGAGGCCUGGUGUGCUGAGGUUCAUGAGGUUGCAAAGAGUUGGACACGACUGAGCAAGUGAACUGAACUGAAUGGUUGUUUACCCUAAAAUACAGUUUCUACAAGAAGGGCAGAAUAAAUGCUUAAUCUUUUCUCUUAUAUACCAACUUCCAGAGUGAUAAGUUGGCACCUUAACAAACUCCAAGUAUAAAUAAUAUUUUAAGUAUCAGUACAACCUCAUGGAUUUUUCUAUAUUUUGUGUUUAAAAUAUAAUUUACUGUUAUA